rnacentral:tRNA from 1 species
AUCCCAGUCUUUGUAGUAUAAUAAUUACCCCGGCCUUGUAAACCGAAAAUGAGGAAUUCCUAUCCUCCAAAGA